AUUGAACGCUGGCGGAAUGCUUUACACAUGCAAGUCGAACGGCAGCGCGGACUUCGGUCUGGUGGCGAGUGGCGAACGGGUGAGUAAUGUAUCGGAACGUGCCCAGUCGUGGGGGAUAACGUAGUGAAAAUUACGCUAAUACCGCAUACGAUCUAUGGAUGAAAGCGGGGGAUCGCAAGACCUCGCGCGAUUGGAGGGGCCGAUAACAGAUUAGGUAGUUGGUGGGGUAAAGGCCCACCAAGCCAACGAUCUGUAGCUGGUCUGAGAGGACGACCAGCCACACUGGAACGGAGACACGGUCCAGACUCCUACGGGAGGCAGCAGUGGGGAAUUUUGGACAAUGGGCGAAAGCCUGAUCCAGCCAUUCCGCGUGCAGGAUGAAGGCCCUCGGGUUGUAAACUGCUUUUGUACAGAACGAAAAGGUUUCUACUAAUACUAGGAGCUCAUGACGGUACUGUAAGAAUAAGCACCGGCUAACUACGUGCCAGCCGCCGCCGUAA
rnacentral:rRNA from 1 species